UGCCUGCAGUGAACUGCUUUAAUUUCUGACACCUCAGAUGAAAACUGCAUGUGAAGUCUGACUCAUUCAUAGGUGCAGCUC